AGGAUUUUUUUCUACGUUCAGAAAAGCGGAUUCUUGACGGAGCGUCCAUUCACGUUCAUUGUAGUAAAUGAGAAACGGAUUGUUCAAUUUUUAUUUCGCGGACAUAGCGUUCCUAAAGUACGUUUUUUUUGUUGCUGAACAUGCGCAGAACAAACAGGAACUUACAAACGAAGACAGGAAACAAGGGAGUGUCAUGUGACAGUCACGUGAGCGCUACUCCUCACCAUUUCUGAAGGCUGAUGUGCAAGUUGGAGAAAGUCUCAAGAAAAGGAUGUCUUCGCCUUGUCCUUCGGUUUGCAGUCGAAGUACCCCCUCCUUUCACAUGCAGGGACACUCCGACACUGAAUCCUCUGCUGGCGAGGAAUUGCGUUUUUCUCCUGAACCAAUGGAGUCAACACAGGAGGGUACACAUUCAAUAGAAAAUCCGCGAAGUAGACGUCAUAA